UACGGGGGGAGCAAGCGUUGUUCGGCUUUACUGGGCGUAAAGGGCGCGUAGGCGGCCACCGCAAGUCGACUGUGAAAUCUCCGGGCUUAACUCGGAAAGGUCAGCCGAUACUGCGGGGCUAGAGUGCAGAAGGGGCAACUGGAAUUCUCGGUGUAGCGGUGAAAUGCGUAGAUAUCGAGAGGAACACCUGCGGCGAAGGCGGGUUGCUGGGCUGACACUGACGCUGAUGUGCGAAAGCUAGGGGAGCGAACGGG
rnacentral:rRNA from 1 species